CCUUCAUUCGUUUCUCUUUGGCUUAAACGCAGAGCAUCCCUAUUCUCCAGUCUCGCUCUCUCUGUAUACUUCUGUCAGGUUUUGAAGCUCCCACGUUUUUUCACAUCAGCCAUAUUAAAAAAAAAAAAAAAAAGCUUAUGUUUUCCCGAUAGGCCUCUUUGCCUUUGCCUCUCUCAAUUAUCAAAACCCUAAAAGUCUAAAACCAACCUUUCUCUCUGCCUUUCUAAGCCGUUCUCUCUAUAUCCCUGAUAGUCCACCAUAGCCAUCUCUCCCACCCAUGACUAAGCCGUUACCCGUCAUAGCCAUCACAAAAUCUCCAAUGUUGCAAGCCCAGUUACGCAGGUAAUGCAGCUAGAGCUGAAUUUGAAUAUGAGGGAUGUGCCUAGGAACCCAAAGACAGAUGAUUUUGUUGAUGAUAAUUCAAGAAUCUCAUUCGGCCAGUUGAUACUUAUAUUAGAUGAACUCCAUAAGGUAUGCCACGUCUCAUCUUGCUUCAUUCGUUCUAUUCAUUCUACUGCACAUACCUAAGCUAGCAUAUAGAUCAUCUUUUAAUUUGAAUUAAAUCAUUCUAAAUCAAAGUAAUGUUUCAUGCCUUUGUAGUCCGCCAAAGAAAGCUGCAAUGGUGAUUGUGUGAAUUUAAAUGAGAGCAACAUAUAAUGUAUAUUGGAUAUUCAAGUGAUCAAUGAGGUCGGAGGGUCUACCACUUUCUGAUAUGCUUAGAUAUAUUCUUAUCAUUAUUAAGCCAUGUGCCUGUACGGUAACCUUUUCAGAAUACUUUUUCUUUAUGAACAACCUUUUCAAAUAACCCUAUUUUCCAAAAGCUGAAAAAUAAGCUAUACCAAUCUGGCACGUAAGCAUUUAAACAUUUUGUUAUCCUUAUUAAGUUAUAUAAGCAUUUAGACAAUUUUGAAAUUUUGCUAUUACUAUUGCUACUUCAAACAAACCUCAUGUAAGUUCUGCAUCUUGAAGAUCAAGUAAAGAAUACCUUAAGAGAAGAUUUCUUGAAGAGAACUUCAAUGAGAGUCUUCUUUCUGUAACAAGUCCUGCAUAUUGGUGUUAGGUCCUACUCUCAUCUUGUGCCAAAAUCUGUGUUUGAAGCUAUGACUUAUGAGCUAUUGGAAUGUUGGUAAUAAUGUUUUCAUUGCCAUAAAGCAACCAAGGUGUGGCCUUUAUGUGUUAUGUGGA